GAUGAACGCUGGCGGCGUGCUUAACACAUGCAAGUCGAACGAAGCACUUUAUUUGAUUUCCUUCGGGACUGAUUAUUUUGUGACUGGGUGGCGGACGGGUGAGUAACUCCUGGGUAACCUGCCUUGUACAGGGGGAUAACAGUUGGAAACGGCUUCUAAUCCCCCAUAAGCGCCCAGCAUCGCAUGAUGCUGUGUGAAAAACUCCGGUGGUAUAAGAUGGACCCGCGUUGGGUUAGCUAGUUCGUGAGGUAACGGCCCACCAAGCCGACGAUCCAUACCCGGCCUGGGAGUGAGCCCGGCCACAGUGAGGGUGAGACACGGCGCAAACUCCUGCGGGAUGCAGGAGUGGGGGAUAUUGCAAUACGGGAGAGAGGGUGAUGGAGCGACGCCGCGUGAGCCAAGUAGUAUUGCGGGAUGUAAAGCUCUUUCAGCAGGGAAGGUAAUGACGGUACCUGACGAAGAAGCACCGGCUAAAUACGUG
rnacentral:rRNA from 1 species